rnacentral:rRNA from 1 species
AGCGAACGCUGGCGGCAGGCUUAACACAUGCAAGUCGAACGAGAACUAGAGCUUGCUCUAGGGACAGUGGCAGACGGGUGAGUAACGCGUGGGAACAUACCUUUCAGUAGGGGACAACAGUUUGAAAAGACUGCUAAUACCUUAUACGCCCUUUUGGGGAAAGAUUUAUCGCUGAAAGAUUGGCCCGCGUUGGAUUAGCUAGAUGGUGGGGUAAUGGCUUACCAUGGCAACGAUCUAUAGCUGGUCUGAGAGGAUGAUCAGCCACACUGGGACUGAGACACGGCCCAG